rnacentral:rRNA from 1 species
AUUGAACGCUGGCGGCAGGCCUAACACAUGCAAGUCGAGCGGAUGAAGGGAGCUUGCUCCUGGAUUCAGCGGCGGACGGGUGAGUAAUGCCUAGGAAUCUGCCUGGUAGUGGGGGAUAACGUCCGGAAACGGGCGCUAAUACCGCAUACGUCCUGAGGGAGAAAGUGGGGGAUCUUCGGACCUCACGCUAUCAGAUGAGCCUAGGUCGGAUUAGCUAGUUGGUGGGGUAAAGGCCUACCAAGGCGACGAUCCGUAACUGGUCUGAGAGGAUGAUCAGUCAAAUGGGAAAUGGAAAACGGCCCAAAACCUAAGGGGAGGCACAGGGGGGGAAAUUGGGAAAAGGGGGGAAAGCCUGAACCAGCCAGGCGGGGGUGGGGAAAAAGGUUUUGGGAUGGUAAAGCAUUUUAAGGGGGGAGGAAGGGAAGUAAGUUAAAACCUUGCUGUUUGGACGUGACCAAAAAAAAAAGCACCGGCGAAAUUAGG